AUUGAUGUAGAUAUUGGAUCAUCCUCAGUUGCAAGGAGUGUGAUUGGCCUUGUCCUUGGAUAUGUCACAAGCUUAGUUGUUGAUCUUGCAAUUUUGAUAGAGGCAAAAGAAGAAGAAGAGUUGCCUGAGUAUAUUCUUGGCACUGUCCGGCUAAAUCGUGUGAGGGUUGACACUGCAGUACCUUUGGAGGCUUAGGGUAUUCAUUUGUCAACAUUCUUAUUCAUCACAUUUUCAUUUUUUCCAUAUUAGUUUUUGAUUAUUAGAUCAUGACUAUAAGGAUUUGGCUUUCCCAAUAAUUAUAUGUACAAAAGUAUGAUUUAUAUAUACACCUCAUCACACACACACACACACACACAGCAAUAAUA
rnacentral:misc_RNA from 1 species